GUAACGACUCUCGGCAACGGAUAUCUCGGCUCUCGCAUCGAUGAAGAACGCAGCGAAAUGCGAUACCUGGUGUGAAUUGCAGAAUCCCGUGAAUCAUCGAAUCUUUGAACGCAAGUUGCGCCCGAGGCCAUUAGGCCUAGGGCACGCCUGCCUGGGCGUCACA
rnacentral:rRNA from 1 species